rnacentral:lncRNA from 1 species
UGUUACAGAAAGAUUUAUUUAUUCUAUUAUUUUGCAACGGUGAGUUUGCAAAAUUAUUUUUGUCACAUUGUCUCUUUGAUAGCGAUCUCAAUCGAGUGACUAAAAUUGAUAAUGAAAAUAUGAAAAAUCAACAACACAAAAUAAAGAUAGUGGAUAAAUAAGAUAUGAGAAUUAGAAGAAAUUGGGAUGAAAAUGAAAGAAGGAAGGGUUGAUUGAAUCAAUUAGCCAAGGGAGAAAGAGAACUCAAUCAAAUGCAUGAGAAAUCAAAUUGAAUUCACAGUAUUAUAACUCGACGAUCAAUCAAGCGAAGCAGAUAACACAAGCAAUUUGGGAUCCACCCCAAUCACGAGGCAAAAAUUAUUUUGCAGAAAUCAUUUUCACAAAAUAAUGGCACAGAUGAAUCUUUCUAUAAUCGCAGUGUCAAAAAUGAGUCAAACUUUCAAAUGCAUUGACAUAGAUGAGCUUUCAAAUGCAUUGACAUAGAUGAGCCAAAUUUAUAACAGAUGAUAUAUAUGGUCAUUUCUAACAGUUCAUAUGAUAAAUUCACGAG